rnacentral:rRNA from 1 species
AUUGAACGCUGGCGGCAGGCCUAACACAUGCAAGUCGAGCGGAGCGGCGGACGGGUGAGUAAUGCCUAGGAAUCUGCCUGGUAGUGGGGGAUAACGUCCGGAAACGGGCGCUAAUACCGCAUACUAUCAGAUGAGCCUAGGUCGGAUUAGCUAGUUGGGGGGGGAAAGGCAUACGAAGGCGACGAACCGUAACUGGGCUGAGAGGAUGAUCAGUCAAACUGGGACUGAGAAACGGGCCCGGCUCCUACGGGGGGCAGCAGUGGGGAAUAUUGGAAAAGUGGGGGAAACCUGAUCCAGCCAUGCCGCGUGGGUGAAGAAGGUUUUCGGAUUUGAAAGCACUUUAAGUUGGGAGGCGUUACCAACAGAAUAAGCACCGGCUAACUUCGUGCCAGCAGCCGCGGUAAUAC